GUUUAACCUGCAGCUGUGAGCAGAGACAAAGGUUUUAUGGCGGAUGAAGGCUUUAAAGGAUCGGUUUCACAGCGUUUAACCCUUUGUGUUCGACUGCUGCUGCUGCAGCUUGAGACAAAGGCCGGCGGGAAACUCAAACUCGGCUCAUCUCAAUUUCAUCAUGUGGAACUAAAUAUGACCUGCUUAAAUCCAGACCCCACAGCUCCGGGCUCCGGGCUCCAGGCUCCGAGCUGGCGCCCGGUCCUCUCCUGCAGACCCGCAUGUUUACAGCAGGAGGUCAGGUGGACCGGAGCCUCCACGCUGUGACAUCACAGUCUGUGUCUACGUGCUGCUGCAUGAAGGAGGAGGCGGAAUGAUCCUUUAAGCCUGAACACUCUGCGCUCUUUGUCUCUCUCUCUCUCUCUCUUCAUGUUUGGCAACCAGGGAACAAACUUGGCAGGAAAACCAGAACCCCCCCCUCUCUCCCCCUCUCCCCCCUCUCUCCCCUCCUCCCCCCCCCCCUCUCUCCUCCCCUUUUCUGUGUUCAGUCAGAGCUCAGUAGCUCAGACCUUCAGACCUGCUGCCUGUCCUCUGCUGGGUCUUUGUCUCUGUGUGUCUCUCAGUGUGAAUGAUGUCCAGGUCCAGGUCCGUCUCAGUCUUUCUGCCGGCUGUCUCUCUGCUGCUGCUGACAGUGGUUUGUGAGGCUCAGUACUACGGAGGCGUCACGCCGUCUCCAGACUACGACUCUGACUACAACGCCACCUUUGAUUACAGCUUCUACAGUAACACCAGCAACGAGGAGCUGGACAGGUUCGGGGAGCGAUUCUUGGAUGAGGAGGACACGGGAGGACAGCAGGAGGACGCUACCACCGCUACCAUGGCAACCGCUGGGCGAACCACAGAGAGAGGGGGGUUUGACGUCCGGAGUGCCGCAUCACUUCCUGUUUCUGUGGAAAUCAGGACGCUCACCUGGACUCUGAUCAGCCUGAUGGCCCUGAACACACAGCAGCUGCAGCACACACUGUGAGACACACACACUCAGCAGCUGCUCCGAGGUCUGUUUGAUCACCUGACCUGAGGUGGGCGGGGUCACUGUGCCUCCUGAACAUGGCCGCCCGGCGCCGUGGGACCAGGUGGACCUCAGCCAAUCACAGACCUUCUUUCUCAGCCAAUCACAGCUCACAGGCCUGAACGCAGACGACUGACGGGGCCGCCAUCUUGUCUGCGCACAGUGACGUCUGCGCACAUGUUUAUACACGUUUGGAAGUUUAUUCAUGCAAAAACUGCCGAGUCAGCACGACGGCCGGGCGAGGCGUGUAGGGAACUCCAAAUAUGGGCAAAGGGGCGGAGCCUCUGCAGCUGUAUAUUAGCUAUGUAAUAAUAAUAUAAACAGGUGUCGGAAUGGUACAGGGAUGAACAUCUGUAAAGAUGUUUACUGUCCGGCCUCUAGUGGACACCGGAGGAACUGCAGUUUGUCCUGUUGGCGUCUGCUCGGUCUUAAACUAAGUGUUAUCAUAAAGACGCGUGAGGCUGAAUAUUAUUUAGUCAUUCCUUCAUCGUCCUCUUCAUCAGGUGGAGGUGGCACAGGUCGGUUGGACCUGGGUCAGUUUUGUCAUGAAUGAGCUUCCAUACAGUGACUCAGCACUUCUUCGUCUUCACCUCCAUGUUUGAUCACUUGGAUGUUUCCUCGUGUUACUCACUCAGUCUGCAG
ensembl:lncRNA